rfam:Salmo salar isolate Sally breed double haploid chromosome ssa10, whole genome shotgun sequence.
ACUUCAGGGUCCUGUAAGUCACUUUGGAAAAAAGUGUCUGCUAAAUGGCGUUUA